CCUACGGGGUGCAGCAGUGGGGAAUAUUGGGCAAUGGGCGCAAGCCUGACCCAGCAACGCCGCGUGAAGGAAGAAGGCUUUCGGAUUGUAAACUUCUUUUCUCAGGGAAGAAGCAAGUGGCGGUACCUGAGUAAUAAGCCACUGCUAACUACGUGGCAGCAGCCGCGGUAAUACGGAGGUGGCAAGCGUUAUCCGGAUUUACUGGUGGUAAAGGGGUAGUAGGCGGGAUAGUAAGUCAGAUGUGAAAACCAGGGGCUCAACCUUUGGACUGCAUGUGAAACUGUUAUUCUUGAGUACUGGAGAGGUAGACGGAAUUCCUGGUGUAGCGGUGAAAUGCGUAGAUAUCAGGAGGAAUACUAGUGGCGAAGGCGGUCUGCUGGACCGCAACUGACGCUGAGGCGCGAAAGCGUGGGGAGCAAACAGGAUUAGAUACCCUUGUAGUC
rnacentral:rRNA from 1 species